CUCGUCCUCUGUUGUGCCCUUCUCCUUGUGCCCUCAAUCUUUCCCAACAUCAGGGUCUUUUCCAGGGAGUCUUCUCUUCUCAUGAGGUGGCCAAAGUAUUGGAGCCUCGGCUUCAGGAUCUGUCCUUCCAGUGAGCACUCAGGGCUGAUUUCCUUAAGAAUGGAUAGGUUUGAUCUUCUUGCAGUCCAUGGGACUCUCAAGAGUCUCCUCCAGCACCAUAAUUCAAAAGCAUCAAUUCUUCGGUGAUCAGCAGUUAGACCACAGCAUUUAGACUAAAUCAAAUUCUAGUGAAGAAGGGCUCUUGGUCAGCUUGCUGUGGAAGGAGAGGUAGGUCUGGGUGAUGGGAUGGACCAACUACGAGGAUGCAGAAGCAGUAUGUGGCUUAAAGGCCAGCUGAUUGGCAAGGAGGUUGUUGUAUGCCCAUACCCUUCAGGCUUCCCUAGUGUUAGGGACAUGCCCAGCAGAGAGGAAUCUCCAGAGGAGGAGGAGUUGGCUGCACCUGAGUCUCCACCUCCAGAGGAGGAGGAAUUGGCUGCACCUGAGUCGCCAAGAAGUAGGAGGCGGAGCAAGCGAUUAGAGCAGAGGUGGGCCAGCAGGAGGCGGGGAAGGACGUGGUAUAUAUCUGGCCUUGGGAGGGGUCAGAAGCCAGUCGAGUCAACUGACUCCAACAGCGAAAGAUGAGUUGUGGAAGCUUGGACUGCUGUAAGCCUGUUAUUGAGAAAUAAACCUCAGCUACUUAUACUGCCAGCGUUCCGUGUCUUGUGUGGGAGAAGUGCUAAAUGUGACACCUAGGGACGUGGGUGGCGCUGUGGUCUAAACCACUGAGCCUCUUGGGCUUGGCAGUUGGAAGGUCGGCAGUUUGAAUCUCCGGGACGGAGUGAGCUCCUGUUGCUCUGUCCCAGCUCCUGCCAACCUAGCAGUUCGAAAGCACGCCAGUGCAAGUAGAUAAAUAGGUACUGCUGUGGAAGAAGGUAAACAGUGUUUCUGUGUGCUCUGGCUUCCAUCACAAUGUCCCAUUGUGCCAGAAGCAGUUUAGUCAUGCUGGCCACAUGUCUCAGAAAGCUGUCUGUGGACAAAUGCCAGUUCCCUCGGCCUGAAGUAAGAUGAGUGCCGCAACCCCAUAGUCGCCUUUGACUGGACUUAACUUUCCAGGGGUCCUUUACCUUUACCUUUUUACCUUCAGGCUUCCCUAUUGAUGUAGCUCCUCCUUGUGCAGAUACAAUGCAAGGACCACCCACAGAACUAAUUGAGUUGAUCAUCCACCUUAUCUCUGUCUGCAUCCAAGUUUGAUGUUUUUUCACUGGGACUGAGAAUUAGGCACCCCAGCAUCUUCCAGGUUUCUUGCAAAAACACACAGACAAAACCAGCGCGAUCAACCAUCAACCACUCUGUGAGAAGGAUUCCAGAGCUGAGAGAGGGAGGUGGGCAGACCAAGGCCACCUCAGGGUCUGACCCAGAUAAACUAUCUGCUCAGCACCAACACUGGGUGAUCUACUGUUAACGAUCAUGUGGGAAGGAUCUUCACAUAUUUUUCAAUGCUAAUAUAUUUAUUAAUGAACAUGCCAGGGAGAGAGUGGGGCCAUGGAUAUUACCACCCUUGGAUACCUUUCUGCUGACCUCUGCAAUAUUUUUUCCCAUGGAUUUUGAGAGAUUGCGGCUUUUGCAAAUAAAAAUAAAUACAAG